AGAGUUUGAUCAUGGCUCAGGAUGAACGCUGGCGGCGUGCCUAACACAUGCAAGUCGAACGAAGCAUUUACACGGAUUUCCUUCGGGGAUGAAGGGUUUAUGACUGAGUGGCGGACGGGUGAGUAACGCGUGGGCAACCUGCCCCGUACCGGGGGACAACAGCCGGAAACGGCUGCUAAUACCGUAUACGUUUUAAGGACCGCAUGGUCCGUAAAACAAAACUCCGGUGGUACGGGAUGGGCCCGCGUCUGAUUAGCUCGUUGGCGGGGUAACGGCCCACCAAGGCGACGAUCAGUAGCCGGCCUGAGAGGGCGGCCGGCCACAUUGGGACUGAGACACGGCCCAGACUCCUGCGGGAGGCAGCAGUGGGGAAUAUUGCACAAUGGGGGAAACCCUGAUGCAGCGACGCCGCGUGAGCGAGGAAGUACUUCAGUAUGUAAAGCUCUGUCAGCAGGGAAAAAAAUGACAGUACCUGACCAAGAAGCCCCGGCUAACUA
rnacentral:rRNA from 1 species